rnacentral:snRNA from 2 species
UUACUUACCUGGACGGGGUCAAUGGGCGAUCAAGAAGGUCCAUGGCCUAGGUUGGUGACCUCCAUUGCACUCAGGAGGGGUGCCCGCCUAAGGUCGGCCCAAGUGGUCGAGCCUACGUCAUAAUUUGUGGCAGUGGGGGCUUGCGUUCGCGCAGCCCCUGC